rnacentral:tRNA from 1 species
GCCGGAUUAGCUCAGCUGGUAGAGCAACUGAUUUGUAAUCAGUAGGUCGGGGGUUCGAAUCCCUCAUCCGGCACCA